AACGAACGCUGGCGGCAGGCCUAACACAUGCAAGUCGAACGCUGUAGCAAUGCAGAGUGGCAGACGGGUGAGUAACACGUGGGAACAUACCCUUAGGUUCGGAAUAGCUCAGGGAAACUUGAGGUAAUACCGGAUAAGCCCUUCGGGGAAAGAUUUAUCGCCAUUGGAUUGGCCCGCGUCUGAUUAGCUAGUUGGUGAGGUAAUGGCUCACCAAGGCGACGAUCAGUAGCUGGUCUGAGAGGAUGACCAGCCACACUGGGACUGAGACACGGCCCAGACUCCUACGGGAGGCAGCAGGUGGGGAAUAUUGGACAAUGGGCGAAAGCCUGAUCCAGCCAUGCCGCGUGAGUGAAGAAGG
rnacentral:rRNA from 1 species